rnacentral:rRNA from 1 species
CCUACGGGAGGCAGCAGUGAGGAAUAUUGGUCAAUGGGCGAGAGCCUGAACCAGCCAAGUCGCGUGAAGGAAGAAGGAUCUAUGGUUCGUAAACUUCUUUUGCAGGGGAAUAAAAUACAGGACGUGUCCUGUUUUGUAUGUACCCUGAGAAUAAGGAUCGGCUAACUCCGUGCCAGCAGCCGCGGUAAUACGGAGGAUCCGAGCGUUAUCCGGAUUUAUUGGGUUUAAAGGGUGCGUAGGUGGUUUGAUAAGUCAGCGGUGAAAGUUUGCAGCUUAACUGUAAAAAUGCCGUUGAAACUGUCGGACUUGAGUGUAAAUGAGGUGGGCGGAAUGCGUGGUGUAGCGGUGAAAUGCAUAGAUAUCACGCAGAACUCCGAUUGCGAAGGCAGCUUACUAAGCUACAACUGACACUGAAGCACGAAAGCGU